GUGGGGAAUAUUGGACAAUGGGCGAAAGCCUGAUCCAGCCAUGCCGCGUGUGUGAAGAAGGCCUUUUGGUUGUAAAGCACUUUAAGCGAGGAGGAGGCUACCGAGAUUAAUACUCUUGGAUAGUGGACGUUACUCGCAGAAUAAGCACCGGCUAACUCUGUGCCAGCAGCCGCGGUAAUACAGAGGGUGCGAGCGUUAAUCGGAUUUACUGGGCGUAAAGCGCGCGUAGGUGGCCAAUUAAGUCAAAUGUGAAAUCCCCGAGCUUAACUUGGGAAUUGCAUUCGAUACUGGUUGGCUAGAGUAUGGGAGAGGAUGGUAGAAUUCCAGGUGUAGCGGUGAAAUGCGUAGAGAUCUGGAGGAAUACCGAUGGUGAAGGCAGCCAUCUGGCCUAAUACUGACACUGAGGUGCGAAAGCAUGGGGAGCAAACAGGAUUAGAUACCCUAGUAGUCC
rnacentral:rRNA from 1 species